UACGAAGGGUGCAAGCGUUAAUCGGAAUUACUGGGCGUAAAGGGCGCGUAGGCGGUUCGUUAAGUCUGUUGUGAAAUCCCCGGGCUCAACCUGGGAAUGGCGAUGGAUACUGGAGAGCUAGAGUGUGUCAGAGGAUGGUGGAAUUCCCGGUGUAGCGGUGAAAUGCGUAGAGAUCGGGAGGAACAUCAGUGGCGAAGGCGGCCAUCUGGGACAACACUGACGCUGAAGCACGAAAGCGUGGGGAGCAAACAGG
rnacentral:rRNA from 1 species